GGUAGUGCGGCGUGCUAAUACAUGCAAGUCGAGCGAACUGAUUAGAAGCUUGCUUCUAUGACGUUAGCGGCGGACGGGUGAGUAACACGUGGGCAACCUGCCUGUAAGACUGGGAUAACUCCGGGAAACCGGAGCUAAUACCGGAUAACAUUUUUUCUUGCAUAAGAGAAAAUUGAAAGAUGGUUUCGGCUAUCACUUACAGAUGGGCCCGCGGUGCAUUAGCUAGUUGGUGAGGUAACGGCUCACCAAGGCAACGAUGCAUAGCCGACCUGAGAGGGUGAUCGGCCACACUGGGACUGAGACACGGCCCAGACUCCUACGGGAGGCAGCAGUAGGGAAUCUUCCGCAAUGGACGAAAGUCUGACGGAGCAACGCCGCGUGAGUGAUGAAGGCUUUCGGGUCGUAAAACUCUGUUGUUAGGGAAGAACAAGUACAAGAGUAACUGCUUGUACCUUGACGGUACCUAACCAGAAAGCCACGGCUAACUACGUGCCAGCAGCCGCGGUAAUACGUAGGUGGCAAGCGUUAUCCGGAAUUAUUGGGCGUAAAGCGCGCGCAGGCGGUUUCUUAAGUCUGAUGUGAAAGCCCACGGCUCAACCGUGGAGGGUCAUUGGAAACUGGGGAACUUGAGUGCAGAAGAGAAAAGCGGAAUUCCACGUGUAGCGGUGAAAUGCGUAGAGAUGUGGAGGAACACCAGUGGCGAAGGCGGCUUUUUGGUCUGUAACUGACGCUGAGGCGCGAAAGCGUGGGGAGCAAACAGGAUUAGAUACCUGGGU
rnacentral:rRNA from 2 species